AAAGGCUACAGUCUCAGGAAGGCAAAUCGAAGAUGCAGUUCCUUUAACAAUCAGUUCUGCUGCAGCAGUUGACAGAAACCCCGAGGGCAGCAGAGAGAUGGUGCGGGUCAGCUCGACAAGCAGCUGCUGAGAGGUGGACCGUUUUUAUACAGGCUCUGCCCAUCAAUCAUAUUGGCGCCUCCCUUCUUCGGCACAAGGAUGCUGAAAUCUGACAGCUCUGGGACCUUUCUCACAUCUGUUGUCUGCGCUCUGCUCUCUCGCCUGCUGGAAGGGCUCUCCUGUCCGUCUCGUGUGGCAGAUGCGAGCAUCUCUAACUUUCUAAAUUCAGCUGUGCCUCGUGUUCUUUCCUGUUUUCUGCUGCCCAACAGAUGCGUUUGCCGACUCAGCAGUGCAGAAUUUCUUUGGGUGAUAAAAUAAAUAAAUGAAAACCAUACUUCA
rnacentral:lncRNA from 1 species